UACGGGGGGGGCAAGCGUUGUCCGGAUUUAUUGGGCGUAAAGAGCGUGUAGGCGGCCAGGUAGGUCAGCUGUGAAAACUCGAGGCUCAACCUCGAGACGUCGGUUGAAACCACCUGGCUAGAGUCCGGAAGAGGAGAGUGGAAUUCCUGGUGUAGCGGUGAAAUGCGCAGAUAUCAGGAAGAACACCCGUGGCGAAGGCGGCUCUCUGGGACGGUACUGACGCUGAGACGCGAAAGCGUGGGGAGCGAACAGG
rnacentral:rRNA from 1 species